rnacentral:lncRNA from 1 species
GCCAGACAUUAGGAUGCCUGCCCCGGUGCUGCCUGGCACAGGCCCUGCUGUGCAUUCUGGUGGUUUUUCAGAAACUCCGUGCUGAGGGGUGUCAGUCUGGACUCAGUGGUUGGGGGAUCUUCACCACCGGGGAGCCGUACCCCCACAACCACUCUGUCCUGCUAAGCCACCCCUGCCCUCCUAGCCAAAGUGUGGCCUGGCUUUUGUCUUCCCAUUUAGUUUCCUCCUUUAUUCUCCCUCUGUGCUUAAUUUAUUAAAAUAGUUGCUGUAUAAUUUAUUUUCAUAAAGUAUAAAAAAUAACUAAAUGGUUAAAAUAGACUUGCAGGCCAAUCUUCAAUGGGGGUGGGUCUGGGGUGGGCCGGGGAGAGGGAGAGAUGUUUUGAUAUAAACAAACAAAUGCACUUUGGGUGUGUUUUGGUAUUUUUCUGGGCAUAGAGGGGUGGGUGUUGGGAUGUCCCUGUAGAUUAGUUCCAGAGUGGGGUGUCUGUAAAUACUGUACUAAUAGGCAUGUGUGACUCUUGUAAAGGGACAUUAGUAGCUGCUGCAGGUCCUGUUUGGAAACCCUGUGUAUAAUUCCCGGUUUUUUGUAAGUGUCAGUGCGGGAGACAUUUGACUCUUGUGUUUGUAUCUCCUUUUUAUGAUUGCUGUACCGACCCAUGUCUUUUUGGGGAGGGAUGAAAAGAGAUUUGAAAUAAAAAUGUUUAGAAAUG